rnacentral:rRNA from 1 species
GAUGAACGCUGGCGGCGUGCCUAAUACAUGCAAGUCGAGCGAACAGACGAGGAGCUUGCUCCUCUGACGUUAGCGGCGGACGGGUGAGUAACACGUGGAUAACCUACCUAUAAGACUGGGAUAACUUCGGGAAACCGGAGCUAAUACCGGAUAAUAUAUUGAACCGCAUGGUUCAAUAGUGAAAGACGGUUUUGCUGUCACUUAUAGAUGGGUCCGCGCCGCAUUAGCUAGUUGGUAAGGUAACGGCUUACCAAGGCAACGAUGCGUAGCCGACCUGAGAGGGUGAUCGGCCACACUGGAACUGAGACACGGUCCAGACUCCUACGGGAGGCAGCAGUAGGGAAUCUUCCGCAAUGGGCGAAAGCCUGACGGAGCAACGCCGCGUGAGUGAUGAAGGUCUUCGGAUCGUAAAACUCUGUUAUUAGGGAAGAAAAAAUGUGUAAGUAACUAUGCACGUCUUGACGGUACCUAAUCAGAAAGCCACGGCUAACUACGUG